rnacentral:rRNA from 1 species
GACUUAGAGUCUCCUGAAGGAACGUUGAAGACGACGACGUUGAUAGGCCGGGUGUGUAAGCGCAGCGAUGCGUUGAGCUAACCGGUACUAAUGAACCGUGAGGCUUAACCUUAC